UCUCUCUCCUCUCUCUCUAUAUGCUAUACUUUAUAAGGAGUUCCUAUGCAAUUUUUCAAUCUGAAAUUUAAACUGACAUUUUUCUCUUUAUUAUAAUUGUUUAGGGUGGAAUAAUUUCACUACCAUCACAUACAUUGUUCCUCUAUGUUUCUGAUAAAACCUACCGCUUAAUUGGAAUGCUGUUACCUUAUGAGAACAUGGAGUUUAGGCCAUCAAUACCCAAUCAGCAGCUGCAAGAACAAUUGUCUCCCCAAGUAGAGCAGCUGCUCGAACAACCAAUUACUGGGGCGCGUUACCAGGAAUUCCUAGAAUUCAACAGCAGUUCUGGUUAAUUAAAUGUGACAAUAAAUUUGACAAGUAGCCAUUGCAGAAAUUGCUAUUACUUGGCUAUCGAAUUUUAAACACUUUCUUCAUGCAGUGUGGAGAGUAAUUGGCUGCCCAAUAUGACUAUUGUUCUUCAUCUCCAAACCCAAACCUAACAUUGUGGGUUUCUUGUUCGUUAUUCCUGUUGACCAUUUUGGAUUUACAGUUUGAAGAAACACAAGUUUCAUUGUUGUUA